rnacentral:rRNA from 2 species
UAGCGUCUUAGCAGGCGAUUCUUCCACGGCGCUCGAAGCGCGUCGUGGUAUUUCGCGUAUUGUAAUUUCAACACGAGCGGGGUCAAAUCCUUUGCAGACGACUUAGCUGUGCGAAACGGUCCUGUAAGCAGUAGAGUAGCCUUGUUGUUACGAUCUGCUGAGGGUAAGCCGUCCUUCGCCUCGAUUU